CUCUCUCUCUCUCUCUCUUCUAUUUAUAAUUAGAGUGAGAGUAUAUAAUGCCUCGUUCAUGAAAUUGAACUUGAAUCUGAAUCCCCGGGCAAAUCACAAUAGACCAGGUGGCGUUGCCUUCCACCAAAGAAGAUCACCGGCGACCUUGUCGGCAUUCCGUCCUUUCGCAGCCGCUAAUUCCUUUAGAGAAAUGCUGCUACCCGACUCCAUAUCCUCUUCCCUCCUCCUCCGCCGCAUUCUGAUCGCCACUGUAUUCUUAUUUGGCGUUUCUCUCUCCUGCUGCGUUCUCUUCAGAGCUGCUGAUUCUGUCGGAUUCCGCCUCCCCGACUCUCUCGACCCCUCCUCCUCUGACUUCUUUUAUGUAUUCCCCUCCUCCGC
rnacentral:lncRNA from 1 species